UGCCAGCAUCCGCGGUACUCCAGAUUGUGCAAGCGUUAAUCGGACUUACUGGGCGUAAAGGGCGUGUAGGCGGUUAGUUAAGUUAGAUGUGAAAGACCUGGGCUCAACCUGGGAGGUGCAUUUAAUACUGGCUAACUAGAGUACAGUAGAGGGCAGUGGAAUUUCUGGUGUAGCGGUGAAAUGCGUAGAUAUCAGAAGGAACAUCGAUGGCGAAGGCAGCUGUCUGGACUGUAACUGACGCUGAGGCGCGAAAGCGUGGGUAGCAAACAGGAUUAGAUA
rnacentral:rRNA from 1 species